AUGAACGCUGGCGGCGUGCCUAAUACAUGCAAGUCGAGCGAACAGACGAGGAGCUUGCUCCUCUGACGUUAGCGGCGGACGGGUGAGUAACACGUGGAUAACCUACCUAUAAGACUGGGAUAACUUCGGGAAACCGGAGCUAAUACCGGAUAAUAUAUUGAACCGCAUGGUUCAAUAGUGAAAGACGGUUUUGCUGUCACUUAUAGAUGGAUCCGCGCCGCAUUAGCUAGUUGGUAAGGUAACGGCUUACCAAGGCAACGAUGCGUAGCCGACCUGAGAGGGUGAUCGGCCACACUGGAACUGAGACACGGUCCAGACUCCUACGGGAGGCAGCAGUAGGGAAUCUUCCGCAAUGGGCGAAAGCCUGACGGAGCAACGCCGCGUGAGUGAUGAAGGUCUUCGGAUCGUAAAACUCUGUUAUUAGGGAAGAACAAAUGUGUAAGUAACUAUGCACGUCUUGACGGUACCUAAUCAGAAAGACACGGCUAACUACGUG
rnacentral:rRNA from 1 species